AGAGUUUGAUCCUGGCUCAGGAUGAACGCUAGCGGCAGGCUUAAUACAUGCAAGGCGAGGGGGCAGCAAUGUCACCGUCGUACGGGUGCGUAACGCGUAUGCAACCUACCUUUUACUGGGGGAUAGCCCGGGGAAACCCGGAUUAAUACCGCAUAAUACAUCAGUAUCACCUGAUAUUGAUUGUUAAAGAUUUAUUGGUAAAAGAUGGGCAUGCGUUCGAUUAGCUAGUUGGCAGGGUAACGGCCUACCAAGGCGACGAUCGAUAGGGGAGCUGAGAGGUUGAUCCCCCACACGGGCACUGAGAUACGGGCCCGACUCCUACGGGAGGCAGCAGUAGGGAAUAUUGGGCAAUGGAUGCAAGUCUGACCCAGCCAUGCCGCGUGCCGGAUGAAGGCCCUCAGGGUUGUAAACGGCUUUUAUUCGGGAAGAAGAGCAGGGAUGCGUCCUUGUGUGACGGUACCGAAUGAAUAAGCACCGGCUAACUCCGUGCCAGCAGCCGCGGUAAUACGGAGGAUGCAAGCGUUAUCCGGAUUCAUUGGGUUUAAAGGGUGCGUAGGCGGACUUGUAAGUCAGGGGUGAAAUCCGGCAGCUCAACUGUCGAACUGCCUCUGAUACUGCAGGUCUUGAGUCAACAUGAAGCAGGCGGAAUAUGGCAUGUAGCGGUGAAAUGCAUAGAUAUGCCAUAGAACACCGAUAGCGAAGGCAGCCUGCUAAAGUUGUACUGACGCUGAUGCACGAAAGCGUGGGUAGCGAACAGGAUUAGAUACCCUGGUAGUCCACGCCGUAAACGAUGAUCACUCGCUGCAUGCGAUAGACAGUAUGUGGCCAAGCGAAAGCGUUAAGUGAUCCACCUGGGGAAUACGAU
rnacentral:rRNA from 1 species